rnacentral:rRNA from 1 species
UACGUAGGGGGCGAGCGUUGUCCGGAUUCAUUGGGCGUAAAGAGCUCGUAGGCGGCUUGGCAAGUCGGGUGUGAAACCUCCAGGCUCAACCUGGAGACGCCACUCGAUACUGCUAUGGCUAGAGUCCGGUAGGGGACCACGGAAUUCCUGGUGUAGCGGUGAAAUGCGCAGAUAUCAGGAGGAACACCGGUGGCGAAGGCGGUGGUCUGGGCCGGCACUGACGCUGAGGAGCGAAAGCGUGGGGAGCGAACAGG